UGUGGGAGCGAGCCUGCUCGCGAUAGCGGUAUGCCUGUCACAGAAAUGUUGAAUAUGCUGCCGCCAUCGCGAGCAGGCUCGCUCCCACA
rnacentral:misc_RNA from 1 species